GAUGAACGCUGGCGGCGUGUUUAACACAUGCAAGUCGAACGGUGAAGGCGGAGCUUGCUCUGCUGGAUCAGUGGCGAACGGGUGAGUAACACGUGAGCAAUCUGCCCCUGACUCUGGGAUAAGCGCUGGAAACGGCGUCUAAUACUGGAUACGAGCUGCGAAGGCAUCUUCAGCAGCUGGAAAGAACUUCGGUCAGGGAUGAGCUCGCGGCCUAUCAGCUUGUUGGUGAGGUAACGGCUCACCAAGGCGUCGACGGGUAGCCGGCCUGAGAGGGUGACCGGCCACACUGGGACUGAGACACGGCCCAGACUCCUACGGGAGGCAGCAGUGGGGAAUAUUGCACAAUGGGCGAAAGCCUGAUGCAGCAACGCCGCGUGAGGGACGACGGCCUUCGGGUUGUAAACCUCUUUUAGCAGGGAAGAAGCGAAAGUGACGGUACCUGCAGAAAAAGCGCCGGCUAACUACGUG
rnacentral:rRNA from 1 species